rnacentral:rRNA from 1 species
GGAAUAUUGGACAAUGGGCGGAAGCCUGAUCCAGCAAUACCGCGUGUGUGAAGAAGGCCUGCGGGUUGUAAAGCACUUUCAGGGGGGAGGAAGAAAUCAUUGCGAAUAGCAUUGGUGGAUGACGUUACCCCCAGAAGAAGCACCGGCUAACUCUGUGCCAGCAGCCGCGGUAAUACAGAGGGUGCAAGCGUUAAUCGGAAUGACUGGGCGUAAAGGGCGUGUAGGUGGUUUGAUAAGUGAGGUGUGAAAACCCUGGGCUUAACCUAGGACGUGCAUCUGAUACUGUCAGACUAGAGUAUAGAAGAGGAAA